rnacentral:rRNA from 1 species
AACGAACGCUGGCGGCGUGCCUAACACAUGCAAGUCGAACGGAUUGAAGGGGCUUGCUCCUUCAGUUAGUGGCGCACGGGUGAGUAACGCGUAGAUAAUCUGCCUGAUGAUCUGGGAUAACAGUUCGAAAGGACUGCUAAUACCGGAUAAGCCCACGUGGUCUUUGAACCGUGCGGGAAAAGGGUGGGACCUACGGGCCUUCUGUCAUCAGAUGAGUCUGCGUACCAUUAGCUAGUUGGUAGGGUAAUGGCCUACCAAGGCUACGAUGGUUAGCUGGUUUGAGAGGAUGAUCAGCCACACUGGGGCUGAGACACGGUCCAGACUCCUAGGGGAGGCAGCAGUGGGGAAUUUUGCGCAAUGGUGGAAAGCCUGACGCAGCAACGCCGCGUGAGGGAUGAAGGCUUUCGGGUCGUAAAGCUCUGUCGAGAGGAAAGAAGUGUAUUGGGGUUAAUACCCGCGAUACUUGACGGUACCCCUAAAGGAAGCACCGGCUAACUCCGUGCCAGCCGCCGCAGUAAAAC